UUCCAGUCCCUUCUCCCUUUGAUCUGUCUCAGCAAGCAGAGACAUGUCCACACUGGAAGCUGGUGUUAACAAAUGUACAGACAACACACUCGGGUGCACACAACACACAGACACACACACACCUCUCUCAGUCUAUGAGUCUUUGUCUGGUCCUUUGCUCCUGGGCCUGACCCAUCUUUAUGAGAUCUAGGCUCUUCCUAUCCCAGGAUGCUGUAUCUAGCCUCCCCUGGGACAGACCUGGGCAUUUUGCACGUCUCCAGCCUUGCCCUCCCUUGGGGGCUUGUGGAAGAUCCACCCAUAUGGCAGAACCUUCCAGAGAGACUCGAAACCAGGAGCCUGACCUCAUGAUGCCCGAAGCAGCUGGCACAGAGGGUACCAGCUCUGAUGUCCUGGCCCCAGCCCAGUUCUCUCUUCUAGAAUCCACACCUUCUCUGGCUCUCCUCCAGCCCUGCAAGAGCAACCCCAGCUUACAGAGAAUAAGCAUGACUUUAUGAAGGACAGAGUGAGGGAAGGAGGGGGUCUUCCGCUGAGGGACCUCACCAACUCAUUCAUCUUUGGUGUGUCUCAUCCCCUAGUGAAACUGCCCAUGCGUCCAUGGUUAUAAGGGAGCUUGGAACGGCCAGGAAACCCUGGUUAUGUCCCGUUCCUUUGCUGCCAGGAACUACCUGCCCGCCCCACCCCUUGCUAGUUGGUGACGCCUGCCCAGCCAGGCAGGGUCCUGCAGGAUGAAAGUUCCAAGAAGCCGGAGCAGGCAGGGAUAAUAAUGACACUCAUCAGUGGCGGCGUCGGCGGCGUCUCAGCCACCUGGGAAUGCAGGGCCCCACGCCCUGUGCCUCACACCCCAGGACACUGCAUGGGCUCCUUUCCCUCGGUUUUAUUACAGAGAUCCCACACUCAGCCAUUCCCAGCCCAACCCAUCCGAGUUUCCAAGAGCUUCAGCCUAGCCACCAGCUUCAUCCACCACCCAGCUUCCAUGGGAAGAUUUGGCUUAACAAGACCCAAGCCAACAGAGGUGAAGGACGCCCAGCCGCUUGGAAACUUGGGUUUCUCAGAGAAGCAAUCCACCUGCCCAGCCUGGCCCAGGGCGCUUUCCCACAGACCCAUCUGUGUCUGGUCAGUACAAAGGCCUGAGGCCUUGCAUCUGAAUCGCUGUUCCCAAGGAACUUCACUGGACGGCUUUUUGAUCGUUUACUCACCCAGAAUCUUUCCAAAGCUUGUAGUGCUCACGAGUGAUCAAUGGGGAGGGGGAGCAGGAGAGAGCCUCUCUCGUUUCCAAUACACAUCUACAAUCCUAAUCUCCCGUAUGCUGUCCUCGCCAGGGUGAAGUAACUACUCAGUUCACCACGUGUGUCCCACGCUUCUCCGUUUGUGGGGCUGCUGGCUCGUUCUUUGGGAUGUCAGUACCUCCAUCUGGACUUGGUCAGAUUCUCUGACCCUUCAAGGCUAGGCCUUGAGCCAUGACCCUGUCCGACUCUUCGUCCCACUCUGGUUCCUCCUCAUCUGAACCUCUCAGGUCCCUCUCCAUUUGUGCCACAGUUAUCUGCAAAUCUUAACUUACCCACAGGUCAUCGGUGCCCUGGCGUCUCCCCCCGUGUCUCCCCCGUGCUUCCUUGGAACGUGACUUCGAAGUCAAGGCAUAAGCUCAAGGAAUAUGUGCUGGACAUAAACUGUGAAGAAGGAUCACGUUUAGCCUGUUAAAUUCCUCACACGAAUGUACUUUUAAAUAGAACGCAUACUUAUUUUACUAUAACAUGUAAUUGGUAUGGAAAGAGAUGGGGUGUGGGGGGCAGAAGAACCCCAUUCUAGUUUUCUUGGCAGGUAGUCUGUGGGCACCCAAGCCCCACUGAAGAUUUCAUCCUCACAGCUUGGGCCCCUAGGCUGACACAUAGAACGCUUUUUGUGACCAGUCACUGGCCCAAUUCACUCUUGGCCUCUGUCUAGAAGGAGGUAGACUCUUCCUUCCAUAGAAAAGGACAGUUCCUCUGGGCUAGGAAGGCUACAGUACUGACCUGCUAGACAAGGUGUGCCCACCAGUGCCACAGUGGAGUGAAGACUAUGGGUAUUGCAGUCACUUUCUGAUUGGAUCUGAGGUCUGCUCCAAUGGAAGGAGCUCAUGCUUCAUAUUUAAACCUGUCAGAAGCCCAUUGCUCGGGAGGCCGUAUGUCCUAGAGGGGAACCUGCUACUGUUUUUUGUUUGUUUGCUUGUUUGUUGUUUUGUUUUUGCUAAAUAAACAUGUUGAACUGUCUUCU
ensembl:lincRNA Gm9796 predicted gene 9796